rnacentral:rRNA from 1 species
AAUGAACGUUGGCGGCGUGGAUUAGGCAUGCAAGUCGUGCGGAAAGGCUCCUUCGGGAGUACUCGAGCGGCGUAAGGGAGAGUAACGCGUGGAUAUCUACCCCCUGGACUGGGAUAGCGGCGGGAAACUGCCGGUAAUACCAGAUAAUGUCUGCGGACCAAAGGUGUGAUUCCGCCUGUGGAUGAGACCGCGUCCUAUUAGCUAGUUGGUAGGGUAAUGGCCUACCAAGGCGAUGAUGGGUACUGGGUGUGAGAGCGUGACCCAGCUCACUGGGACUGAGACACUGCCCAGACACCUACGGGUGGCUGCAGUCGAGGAUCUUCGGCAAUGGGCGCAAGCCUGACCGAGCGACGCCGCGUGUGGGAUGAAGGCCUUCGGGUUGUAAACCACUGUCGUAGGGGAGGAAAUGCAUGGGGGUUCUCCUCCAUGUUUGACCUAUCCUAGGAGGAAGUGUGGGCUAAGUUCGUGCCAGCCGCCGCGGUAACAC